UACGGAGGAUGCGAGCGUUAUCCGGAUUUAUUGGGUUUAAAGGGUGCGUAGGCGGAUUUGUAAGUCAGCGGUAAAAAUGCGGUGCUCAACGCCGUAUCGCCGUUGAAACUGCGGGUCUUGAGUGAGCGAGAAGUAUGCGGAAUGCGUGGUGUAGCGGUGAAAUGCAUAGAUAUCACACAGAACACCGAUUGCGAAGGCAUCUCACGAAUCCGCGAUUGACGCUGAUGCACGAAAGCGUGGGUAUCAAACAGG
rnacentral:rRNA from 1 species